rnacentral:rRNA from 1 species
AACGAACGCUGGCGGCAGGCCUAACACAUGCAAGUCGAAACGAGAUCUUCGGAUCUAGUGGGCGGACGGGUGAGUAACGCGUGGGAACGUGCCCCUUCUCUACGGGAAUAGUCCUGGGGAAAACUGGGGUUUAAUACCGUAUACGCCCUUCGGGGGAAAGAAAUUUACGGGGAAGGUAUCGGCCCCGCGUUGGAUUAGGUAGUUGGUGGGGUAAUGGCCUACCAAGCCGACGAUCCAAUAGCUGGUUUGAGAGGAUGAUCAGCCACACU